rnacentral:rRNA from 1 species
GAUGAACGCUGGCGGCGUGCCUAAUACAUGCAAGUAGAACGCUGAAGGAGGAGCUUGCUCUUCUGGAUGAGUUGCGAACGGGUGAGUAACGCGUAGGUAACCUGCCUGGUAGCGGGGGAUAACUAUUGGAAACGAUAGCUAAUACCGCAUGACAACAGUUAUUGCAUGAUAACUGUUUAAAAGGGGCAACUGCUCCACUACCAGAUGGACCUGCGUUGUAUUAGCUAGUUGGUGAGGUAACGGCUCACCAAGGCGACGAUACAUAGCCGACCUGAGAGGGUGAUCGGCCACAGUGGGACUGAGACACGGCCCAGACUCCUACGGGAGGCAGCAGUAGGGAAUCUUCGGCAAUGGACGGAAGUCUGACCGAGCAACGCCGCGUGAGUGAAGAAGGUUUUCGGAUCGUAAAGCUCUGUUGUAAGAGAAGAACGAGUGUGAGAGUGGAAAGUUCACACUGUGACGGUAUCUUACCAGAAAGGGACGGCUAACUACGUG